CUCAUUUGACAGUGUCAUCAAAUGUCAGAUUGGUCUAAAAAACGCCACAUUGAUCGAAACAAGUUUGAUAAAUGUGACAAUUACCGGUAAAUGGUACAAUUACC